GAGCAGUGACAGUACAUUUGCUUUCCGAAGUUGCUACUGAGCUGAUAAAAACUAUGGAAGUCUUCAAAGACGAUAAACUCUCUUCCGAGGUAUUGCUCUUAUGCCUGGCAGUUUUGGCUUUACCCGCUAUGAUGAAUAAAUCGAGCUUCAGUAACCUGGAUUUAGCUCAUCUGCUGAUGACAAUUUUGACUACAAAUCAAAAU